UUCAUUGAACUGCCCCUUCUUCAUGUGGGUUGACCAUCUUAAGAUGUGUGAGUGUGGGAACGGUCAAUGUAAAGUUAGAACUGCGAAGACAAGUGCAAAUUAUGGUCGAUAUUUUUGGUGUUGUCCACAAUCAACUGGGGUUGAAAACAAAGGUUGUGGAAUGUUCGAAUGGAUAUCAAAUUCAAGCCCAAGUUGUCAUACUUACCAAACUCCACCUAGGUCACUAUGCUCGGAAACCUCAACUUCAUCAUCUCCUUCCCCUUCAUCAGACUAUAUCAAAGGAUACUUGAACGGUGCAAUAAAAGAAUCGGAGGGUCAUACGAGGAUAUUGAGAGAUGUUCUUGACACACUCAAUAAGCUUGAUUUAAACAAAAAUGUAGGAUGAGCUUUUUUGGAAUUUUUUGGAAAACAAAAAGGCCGAAGCCAUUGUAAUGAUAAACGUUUCAUUAUCCCUUUUUUUUUUAUAUAUAUAUAGAAAGACUUAAUUAUCA